rnacentral:rRNA from 1 species
GUUUGAUCAUGGCUCAGAUUGAACGCUGGCGGCAGGCCUAACACAUGCAAGUCGAACGGUAACAGGAAGCAGCUUGCUGCUUCGCUGACGAGUGGCGGACGGGUGAGUAAUGUCUGGGAAACUGCCUGAUGGAGGGGGAUAACUACUGGAAACGGUGGCUAAUACCGCAUAACGUCGCAAGACCAAAGAGGGGGACCUUCGGGCCUCUUGCCAUCAGAUGUGCCCAGAUGGGAUUAGCUAGUUGGUGAGGUAACGGCUCACCAAGGCGACGAUCCCUAGCUGGUCUGAGAGGAUGACCAGCCACACUGGAACUGAGACACGGUCCAGACUCCUACGGGAGGCAGCAGUGGGGAAUAUUGCACAAUGGGCGCAAGCCUGAUGCAGCCAUGCCGCGUGUAUGAAGAAGGCCUUCGGGUUGUAAAGUACUUUCAGCGGGGAGGAAGGUGUUGUGGUUAAUAACCGCAGCAAUUGACGUUACCCGCAGAAGAAGCACCGGCUAACUCCGUGCCAGCAGCCGCGGUAAUACGGAGGGUGCAAGCGUUAAUCGGAAUUACUGGGCGUAAAGCGCACGCAGGCGGUCUGUCAAGUCGGAUGUGAAAUCCCCGGGCUCAACCUGGGAACUGCAUUCGAAACUGGCAGGCUUGAGUCUUGUAGAGGGGGGUAGAAUUCCAGGUGUAGCGGUGAAAUGCGUAGAGAUCUGGAGGAAUACCGGUGGCGAAGGCGGCCCCCUGGACAAAGACUGACGCUCAGGUGCGAAAGCGUGGGGAGCAAACAGGAUUAGAUACCCUGGUAGUCCACGCCGUAAACGAUGUCUACUUGGAGCUUGUGCCCUUGAGGCGUGGCUUCCGGAGCUAACGCGUUAAGUAGACCGCCUGGGGAGUACGGCCGCAAGGUUAAAACUCAAAUGAAUUGACGGGGGCCCGCACAAGCGGUGGAGCAUGUGGUUUAAUUCGAUGCAACGCGAAGAACCUUACCUGGUCUUGACAUCCACAGAAGAAUCCAGAGAUGGAUUGGUGCCUUCGGGAACUGUGAGACAGGUGCUGCAUGGCUGUCGUCAGCUCGUGUUGUGAAAUGUUGGGUUAAGUCCCGCAACGAGCGCAACCCUUAUCCUUUGUUGCCAGCGGUUAGGCCGGGAACUCAAAGGAGACUGCCAGUGAUAAACUGGAGGAAGGUGGGGAUGACGUCAAGUCAUCAUGGCCCUUACGACCAGGGCUACACACGUGCUACAAUGGCGCAUACAAAGAGAAGCGACCUCGCGAGAGCAAGCGGACCUCAUAAAGUGCGUCGUAGUCCGGAUUGGAGUCUGCAACUCGACUCCAUGAAGUCGGAAUCGCUAGUAAUCGUGGAUCAGAAUGCCACGGUGAAUACGUUCCCGGGCCUUGUACACACCGCCCGUCACACCAUGGGAGUGGGUUGCAAAAGAAGUAGGUAGCUUAACCUUCGGGAGGGCGCUUACCACUUUGUGAUUCAUGACUGGGGUGAAGUCGUAACAAGGUAACCGUAGGGGAACCUGCGGUUGGAUCACCUCCUUACCUUAAAGAAGC